UACGUAGGGGGCAAGCGUUGUCCGGAAUCAUUGGGCGUAAAGCGCGCGUAGGCGGCCCGGUAAGUCCGCUGUAAAAGUCCAGGGCUCAACCCUGGAAAGCCGGUGGAUACUGUCGGGCUAGAGUCCGGAAGAGGAGAGUGGAAUUCCUGGUGUAGCGGUGAAAUGCGCAGAUAUCAGGAGGAACACCAAUUGCGAAGGCAGCUCGCUGGGACGUUACUGACGCUGAGACGCGAAAGCGUGGGGAGCAAACAGG
rnacentral:rRNA from 1 species